UAACUCUGCAAAGCACUUUGGAUGCUCAGAAAUUGGAUUGACCUCUUUGAUGCUAGGUUUGAAAAUGGUAAUCUGAACCUUCGCUUUCUUUUUCCUUUUUGUCUUAAUUCUAAUUUGGGAAGUUUCCUGAGAUUUUACUGCUUUACUGAGUGUUUAGUGUUUUUUACUGCAGGUUAUGUUAUUGCAGUAUGUUUUCAUGGUCAAGAGUGCAGGACAUGAAUUGAUGAUGAUGAUCAAACAAGGCUGCAAGUCGACUUGGCAUAUGCAGGGCAAAGUAAUGUUCAUGGUCAAGGUUUGAAAGGUCUAC
rnacentral:lncRNA from 1 species